rnacentral:rRNA from 1 species
GACAGAGGAUGCAAGCGUUAUCCGGAAUGAUUGGGCGUAAAGCGUCUGUAGGUGGCUUUUUAAGUCCGCCGUCAAAUCCCAGGGCCUCAACCCUGGACAGGCGGUGGAAACUACCAAGCUGGGAGUACGGUAGGGGCAGAGGGAAUUUCGUGGUGGAGCGGUGAAAUGCGUAGAGAUCGGAAAGAACACCAACGGCGAAAGCACUCUGCUGGGCCGACACUGACACUGAGAGACGAAAGCUAGGGGAGCGAAUGGG